rnacentral:lncRNA from 10 species
UUUUUACUUCAAAUCUGGCCACUUUAAAGAACUGUUUCGUCUUAAUGACUUUUGAGUUGAUUCCCAGGCAUCUUUGACAUAAAGUCAUGUCACCUGCAACUAAUGAUGUUAUCUCCAGCCCCAACAUCUGCGUUCCAGUUUCUAACUCAUGUCUUAUUGCACUUCUCAGAACAUCUCGACAACAUUAGAUAAUAGCAGCGAUGGUUGUUGCCCCUCAUUUUAUUUCUAGUUCCAUUAGUUAUGUUCCAGUAACGUGUUUCUUGCUCUUAGGAUAUUCAAAAGUACACCUGCCGAGUCCCAGCCCUGAGGAGUGUUUUCGUGCUUCAUUGUUAAGUAUCUUGGAGGCUC